AUUGAACGCUGGCGGCAUGCCUUACACAUGCAAGUCGAACGGCAGCACGGGAGCAAUCCUGGUGGCGAGUGGCGAACGGGUGAGUAAUAUAUCGGAACGUGCCCAGUCGUGGGGAUAACGUAGCGAAAGCUACGCUAAUACCGCAUACGAUCUAUGGAUGAAAGCGGGGGAUCGCAAGACCUCGCGCGAUUGGAGCGGCCGAUAUCAGAUUAGGUAGUUGGUGAGGUAAAGGCUCACCAAGCCGACGAUCUGUAGCUGGUCUGAGAGGACGACCAGCCACACUGGGACUCGAGACACGGCCCAGACUCCUACGGAGGCAGCAGUGGGGAAUUUUGGACAAUGGGCGCAAGCCUGAUCUAGCAAUGCCGCGUGCAGGAUG
rnacentral:rRNA from 1 species